GCGGCGUGCUUAACACAUGCAAGUCGAGCGGUAAGGCCCUUCGGGGUACACGAGCGGCGAACGGGUGAGUAACACGUGAGCAACCUGCCCCUGACUCCGGGAUAAGCGGUGGAAACGCCGUCUAAUACCGGAUACGACCUCCCACCUCAUGGUGGAGGGUGGAAAGUUUUUCGGUCAGGGAUGGGCUCGCGGCCUAUCAGCUUGUUGGUGGGGUAACGGCCUACCAAGGCGAUUACGGGUAGCCGGCCUGAGAGGGCGACCGGCCACACUGGGACUGAGACACGGCCCAGACUCCUGCGGGAGGCAGCAGUGGGGAAUAUUGCGCAAUGGGCGAAAGCCUGACGCAGCGACGCCGCGUGGGGGAUGACGGCCUUCGGGUUGUAAACCUCUUUUACCACCAACGCAGGCUUCCAGUUCUCUGGGAGUUGACGGUAGGUGGGGAAUAAGGACCGGCUAACUACGUGCCAGCAGCCGCGGUAAUACGUAGGGUCCGAGCGUUGUCCGGAAUUAUUGGGCGUAAAGAGCUCGUAGGCGGCGUGUCGCGUCUGCUGUGAAAGACCGGGGCUUAACUCCGGUUCUGCAGUGGAUACGGGCAUGCUAGAGGUAGGUAGGGGAGACUGGAAUUCCUGGUGUAGCGGUGAAAUGCGCAGAUAUCAGGAGGAACACCGGUGGCGAAGGCGGGUCUCUGGGCCUUACCUGACGCUGAGGAGCGAAAGCAUGGGGAGCGAACAGGAUUAGAUACCCUGGUAGUCCAUGCCGUAAACGUUGGGCGCUAGGUGUGGGGACUUUCCACGGUUUCCGCGCCGUAGCUAACGCAUUAAGCGCCCCGCCUGGGGAGUACGGCCGCAAGGCUAAAACUCAAAGGAAUUGACGGGGGCCCGCACAAGCGGCGGAGCAUG
rnacentral:rRNA from 1 species